rnacentral:rRNA from 1 species
GACGGAGGAUGCAAGUGUUAUCCGGAAUCACUGGGCGUAAAGCGUCUGUAGGUGGUCAAAUAAGUCAACUGUUAAAUCUUGAGGCUCAACCUCAAAAUCGCAGUCGAAACUAUUCGACUAGAGUAUAGUAGGGGUAAAGGGAAUUUCCAGUGGAGCGGUGAAAUGCGUAGAGAUUGGAAAGAACACCGAUGGCGAAGGCACUUUACUGGGCCGACACUGACACUGAGAGACGAAAGCUAGGGGAGCGAAUGGG